UACGAAGGGGGCUAGCGUUGCUCGGAAUCACUGGGCGUAAAGGGCGCGUAGGCGGCCGAUCAAGUCAGGGGUGAAAGCCUGUGGCUCAACCACAGAAUUGCCUUUGAUACUGUUCGGCUCGAGACCGGAAGAGGUAAGUGGAACUGCGAGUGUAGAGGUGAAAUUCGUAGAUAUUCGCAAGAACACCAGUGGCGAAGGCGGCUACUGGUCCGGUUCUGACGCUGAGGCUGCGAAAGCGUGGGAGCAACA
rnacentral:rRNA from 1 species